GAAAUGAACAAUUGGAAUUUGAAAUUGAAAACACAAUACCAUUUAUAUUAACACAGAAACAAUGAACUAGUUUGGUAUAAAUUUGACAAAAUAUGUACAAGGUUUAUAUGAGGAGCUUUGCAAAAAUUUGAUAAGAGAUGCAAGAAGACCCAAAUAAAUGGAGACAUACUAUGGUUUAAGGAUAUGGCUCAGUUGGUAGAGUGCUUGCCUUGCAUGUACAAGGCCCUGGGUUCAAUCGAAAAAAGGAAAGAUACUCCAUACACAUGAAUAGGAAGACUUAAGUCAUCAAUUCCUCCCAACUUGGUCUAUAACCUUAGUGCAAUCCCACUCAAAACAAAUUUAUUUUGUAGAAAUCAACAGCUGAUUCUAAGUUGGUAUCAAAAGGCAAAAGAUGCAAAAUAGCCAAUAUGGUGCUGAAGCACAAAGCUGAAGAACUGAUACUACCUGACUUCAAAACCUGCUGUAAAGCUCAAGUAAUUACGACAGUGUGGUACUGGUAAAAGAAUUUGACUGAUCAAUGGAACAGAACAGAGA
rnacentral:lncRNA from 1 species